rnacentral:tRNA from 1 species
GGAGAGGUGGCCGAGCGGUUUAAGGCAGCGGUCUUGAAAACCGCCGUGGCAGCGAUGUCACCGUGGGUUCGAAUCCCACCCUCUCCGCCA